rnacentral:rRNA from 1 species
CCUACGGGAGGCUGCAGUGGGGAAUAUUGGACAAUGGGGGGAACCCUGAUCCAGCCAUGCCGCGUGUGUGAAGAAGGCCCUCGGGUUGUAAAGCACUUUCAGUGAGGAAGAACGCCUGGUGGUUAAUACCCAUCAGGAAAGACAUCACUCACAGAAGAAGCACCGGCUAACUCCGUGCCAGCAGCCGCGGUAAUACGGAGGGUGCGAGCGUUAAUCGGAAUUACUGGGCGUAAAGCGCGCGUAAGUGGCUUGAUAAGCCGGUUGUGAAAGCCCCGGGCUCAACCUGGGAACGGCAUCCGGAACUGUCAAGCUAGAGUGCAGGAGAGGAAGGUAGAAUUCCCGGUGUAGCGGUGAAAUGCGUAGAGAUCGGGAGGAAUACCAGUGGCGAAGGCGGCUUUCUGGACUGACACUGACACUGAGGUGCGAAAGCGUGGGUAGCAAACAGGAUUAGAUACCCGAGUAGUC